rnacentral:rRNA from 1 species
GACGGGGACCCGCACAAGCGGUGGAUGAUGUGGAUUAAUUCGAUGCAACGCGAAGAACCUUACCUACCCUUGACAUGUCCGGAACUUGCCAGAGAUGGCUUGGUGCCCGAAAGGGAAUCGGAACACAGGUGCUGCAUGGCUGUCGUCAGCUCGUGUCGUGAGAUGUUGGGCUAAGUCCCGCAACGAGCGCAACCCUUGUCAUUAGUUGCCAUCAUUUGGUUGGGCACUCUAAUGAGACUGCCGGUGACAAACCGGAGGAAGGUGGGGAUGACGUCAAGUCCUCAUGGCCCUUAUGGGUAGGGCUUCACACGUCAUACAAUGGUCGGUACAGAGGGUUGCCAACCCGCGAGGGGGAGCUAAUCCCACAAAGCCGAUCGUAGUCCGGAUCGCAGUCUGCAACUCGACUGCGUGAAGUCGGAAUCGCUAGUAAUCGUGGAUCAGCAUGUCACGGUGAAUACGUUCCCGGGUCUU